GCGUCCAUGGUCUAGUGGUUAGGAUUCAUCCCUUCCAAUUCGACUCUAGCAAGAGUUGAGAGUUGAGUUGCCAGGAUGAGGGGGGGGUUCGAUUCCCUCUGGUCGCA